rnacentral:tRNA from 1 species
GCCUUCGUGGUGUAAUGGUCAUAUUCGGCUCGUAUUCGAGAUUUCAUAGGUUCGAGUCCUGGCGAGGACA